rnacentral:lncRNA from 13 species
AGGACUUCAUUGUAACAUGAUGCUCACUACAUUGCAUUUUAUGAUGUGAACUUUGCUGUUUGCGUCCAAAAUGGCACCUUCUUCCAUAUUUAGUGCACUACUUUUGACCAGAGCCAGACCCUAUGGGCCCAGUUCAAAAGUUGUGCACUAUAAAGGGAAGAGAAGGCCUUUUGGGACACAGUGACUGAUUUCCAUUGUUGCGUCCUCUUCUCCCAGUUAUUGUACCCAGGUCGGUCACACCAGCUUGCUCUUCUUACUCAGACACCAGCAAUGCUGCAAGUGACAUCACUCAUGGUAUUGUGGCUGACCUUAAUGCUACUGAGGAAUUCCCUGCCAGGGGCCUUAGCCCGGCUGAUGUAAAGGCUGACGGCAUGGCCCGCCUUCCCUCUGCCAGGGGGGAAGAGACUAAGAAGAACAGGAAGUGGCAUUUCCUGCACAAAAUUGUCAAGAUUCCAAAGAUCAGGAUUAAGCUGUUCAAGACAAAGGGGGAACCGAAGAGCCACCCUGAACAGGAUUCUCUGCCUACCAAACGUCUCAGAGAGACUCGUAUUUCACAGGGUAAGUGAUAAGCAUCGAUAAUGUCAUAUUGAUGUAUCACCCUAUGGCCAGCUUGUUAAAACGGUGACUACAGAUACAGGCGGACAGACAGAUACACACAUUCAUUUUCUGAUUAUGAAAUAUUAUUUUCACAGAUGCUGAGUGUGAGGUUCCAUCCACUUCCCCACCCAAAGAGGACCUGACAACCACACUGGCCCCUGCUCCCCAGGAGUCCCAGUCCCGUAAACGCCCUCUCAUAGUCAGGGUGUUACGAGCUAUCUCCAGAGCCGUCUCCAAACCAUUCAGAGAAGCUUUUGGGAAGAAGAAUUAGCCAAAUGCCAGAUUUUAUUACUAUUUUAAUCAGAGCCUUUAUUUAAUAAAACAUUACUGCAUGGAUUUCUGUCUAUAGUCGUCUUACUGUUUGUGCAAGAUAAUGGUACCACAUUGUCAAACAUAGUUAUAGUGAAGCACUGUUUAUGAUUAUUGAUUGUGGAAAUCACAUUUUAAUACAGAAAAGAUGUCGUCACAUAAAGACAGACAUAAAGGAGAAAACUCCGUCGACUAUUCACAUGAUCAAGACACAACUAAAGCCAUGAAUGGAUCAUAUUAUUAUACCUUGAUUUCAACAAGGAACACAGACUGAGACCAAGGUGUCUUUUACAGCUGGGCCCUGCGUAGACAUGUUACACAUUCAGUUUAGCUACAAUGAUUAAGAAACUACACAAGACAAACAAGACCAUCACAGAUAACACACAAAUACAGCAGCAGAUUAUUACGUUUGCACACAGGUUAUUCCCCUAACAGCACAAUAACUUGCAUUACCCGAAAGUUACAAGCAAUACAGAAAUAAAAAUCCUCCAAUAAUUAUUUAAAAUGGGCAACAGGGGGACAAGAGUCUCAAAUGUAAGUUUAGUCUGCAGGCUUUUCCAUUGGCAAGGAGCGUAACAGGAAAAGGCAGCCAUACCCAACUCUGUGGAAAUCGCAUGGACCUCAAGCGUAAUCCAUGCUUGAGACCUGGUUUUAGGAAUUCUAAUUCUAAUAUUGAUGAGUGAUGAUAAAUAAGAUGGUAGUUUAUUCAGAAGUGCUUCAUAGACAAACACAAGAACAUAUUCUCGUCUCAUGGACAGCGAAGUCCAACCCACAUUUUGAUACAAAACACAGUGGUGAGUUCUGUAGCUAGCGUCCGUAAUAAACCUAAGUACUCAAUGAUAAAUAGCAUCCAG